UAGCACCACGCGCUCCGGAGACGCACAUUACGCACCAACGCGCACAUAUAAGACUAUGGCCAAGUCCCUUAUUUUAAACACGAAGCGAGUAAAUACGUUGGAUACUGAAGGUGGCGCUUGGACACUGUUGCAGGCGCGUGGAUGCGUCGGAGUGCCUGUCUGCUGAAGAAGGAUGCAUUUAAGCAGCUGACGCUGACCCACAAAACGAGGAGGAGAUGACAUCAUCCUGGAGCAGCUCCAGCUUACACAAGAUCCAUGAGCCACAGACCCACGCAGACACACCUGAAGCCCACCAUCUGGCCGAGGCUUGAGGACCAUGCUGCCUCCAAUGGUCCGACCACUCAGCCCUCUUCCUGUCACUCAGCCUCGUCAGCCGAUGCUGUCAGCACAGGUGGCAUUCUCUACCUCCUUCUCUACGGGGAAAAGAACAACCUGACAGAAGCUUUGAGCGUUCACACUGUGAGCAGGAAAAUCGAGACCCCUGUACAAUGUGGUGCAAUGUAACACAUCGUAACAGCCGUGCAAUAGAGAGGCUGCUGAGACUGUUGACUCAACACCACGGACACGUUUGAUGUUGUAGUUUGGGAUGAUCUUAUAUUGCAACAAGAAUUUGUCAGCUUGUCACUGAAAUAUAGACAUAUUUUUUUCGAUCAAUACAGCAGCAAACAAAUUAUUUACGAGGCAAAGACUUGGUGGAGGAAUGUCUACCUGGGCAGAGAAGUCUGUGUGCACUGCAAUCCAAGUUGUUCUGUUCUUUGUUUACACAGCCAGGCCGGCCUUCUAGUGCAAGUUGCUGCAUGACGCCCUGCAAAUCAAAUAUCUCUUAUAUAUUAUUUAUCUUCAUGAUUUCAGCCAACAAACUCACAAACCAUGUAGCAGGCCACGCUUGGCUGUCUGGUUUCUUUUGUUGCUCACAGUGUGAACAGAGCGUUAUAACGCCGUCCUGAUCGCCAGCGUCGCUACGGAAACAGAGCGGCCACCCUCCGGUUCUACCCCGGCUAAAGACUGAGCGCUGUGGGCACCGUUAGCUGCGCGGCUCAACCAUCGCCAUGUUGAGCGCUAUGCUGGGAAUUUUGAAUGUAGUGCCUCUGAAGAACUCCUCAUCUAUAAAGACAUAGGGCCUAAGAGGUUGAAAAGAUCACAAAAAAUGGCAAACAUACAAUGCCAUAGCUUUUUUGUUUUGUUUCCAUCGACAGCAUAAUAUAUAGAUUGUAGAGGCUUUCCUUGUUGGCUGUUGUGUGUUUUGUUAGCAUAAAUACGUAUCAAAAACAAAUGUCAAACCUUGUUUUGCAAUCCGCAUGCAAAGCCUAAUUUAUGUUAUUUACAUUCCCUAGAAUCAGACGCCUGAUUUUAUGAACACCAGGAAUCAUGAACAGCUGUUUGAUAGAGAGAAACUAAUGAUGUCAUGCCCAGAAUCAUCUGUGGGGAGCGCAACACCACGGGGGCUGUCACUCGACAACAGAAUGUCAGCGGCGGCAGGGCCUGUGUUUGGGGAAGGCUCUUGUCAAUCAUCUUACGUGCAGCGGGGGAGCAGGUGGGCUGACCAAUCAGAGAAGGUCCCAGCACAGCAGGAACGGCACCAGGAAGUGAAGCGCCAUCUGGAGUGAGGACGAGCUGUGUGAGUGGGCAACUGAAACAAAGUGAUGACAUGCUGGAGGAAAGCUGGUGGAGUGUGCUGUUGGAUAUAACAAGGGCAUUUGGAUUCAUGCUGCCUAUCACACCAACUCUGCUGGUUAUUCUAGUCGUCAGAUGGUGCUUAUUAAAGAUGUGCACCGGCAGCCAUUCCUCCCAUAUAGGGGGAGGAGACAUGUGUGUGGCAUAGCCAACUAGUAUGAUGGGUAGAAUACUGUUACCAGCAUUAACACAGAGCACAAGACAUGGUAUCACAAUUCUCAGGUUGAUUAGUGUAACAGCCCUUCCAUCCCACACACACACACACGACAUCAAUCAGAUAUCAUUCUUAAACCAGGACCAGUCUAUUUCUAACUGCACGAUGCCACUUUGACAGCUGACAAUUUGCCAGCUCAUAAAAUAUAAAAGGAAAAAAAACGGUGGCAGUGAAAACUGGUAAAUUGAAAAUUAUGACAUUGAGUUUGAUUUGAGGAAAAGGAUGAGAAAAUCCAUUAAAGCAGGUUCUGCAUGGAAAGAGCUACGUCUCUCUCUCUCUCUCUCUCCCCUUUUAUGUAACAAUGAUCUUUUAUUCCUUAGAUAAGAGACAGAUCUGCUGAGAGAUAGGUCAGAGGAAAUGGAAUUGAAUAGAAAUCUUUGCGCUACAUUUACUGAAUCAUCAAUGUGAUUAAUAGCAGUUAACACCUCGUAAAAAUAGAGCCGCAAUUACAGCGGAAAAUUAGGGCCCCGCAUUACCAUCGCGCUAAUAAGUACCGAAUAUAAUUACAUUUAUCGCAGUGUUGUCACAGAGAUUGAUAAAUUCACGCUCAAUCUCGUUAAUCUCUCAAUAACACCCAGCACAGAAUUUAACAAUUACAUUUUUUGUCAACCUAAAUGAAGGUGAGCGAUCGCGAGAGCAGGUGGAGGUAGGAGAAGAUGGAAAGUGGCAGCGUGAGGGAAAGAGAGAGCAGAUAUGCUCCCGUCCAUCUCGAGUAUUUUUCAUCCUAUUCCCAGCAGAGGGGAUAAAACAGAGAAUUACAAACUCUAAAAACUGUGUCUUUGUGUGCUUCUCUGAAAGGAGAUACUCUCCAGCACUGAAGAGAUGAAGCUCAAAACAAAAGCAGCCUGAAUUGGACCAGGAUUAGCUUUAAUGGCAGUAAUUACCAGAGGGGAUAACAGCCCGGUCCUCUCUGCCCAUCACUGAGGCCCCGAGCAGAGGACAGCAGGAGGGGGAGAGAAAGACCUGAAACAGGGCCCGUCCUUGGCUGCCUGUGUGGCUACAUGGUGGCAGCGGUUUAACACAUUCAAUUGUCAAACACUUGGACGGCCCAUCUAUGUGUGGCCUCUCCUGUGCUAAAAGCCACUACUGUAUCCCACCGCCACAAUAAUGGCUGUGCAUAAAAAAGCACUAGGCCCUCCACAAUGUUGCUUCUUGAAUUACAAUCUGAGCUGAUGGCCCUAAAUUAUAGCAGCAGGGGCACUUUCUCUUUCUCUCGAGUUCAUCUUAAUGGCUACGUAGCCUCAGCAAGCUGCGCCGCGUGCGUCGAUAAAACGUUUUGGGGGCAUUGACAGUGAUGUGGUCUGCUGCCUAAAAACAAGAGAAAUUAAUAUGCAACAUGGUGCCACCUUACACCCAUAGUGGAAGAUGGGCCCCCAGACAUCAGUGGGAACAAAGGAGAUAAACGAAGAAGAGCCAUGUGCGGGACAAGCUGCUCACAGGGGUAUAAUUUAUAUAGUAUUAAAUCUCUGCUUCCAAACCCUAAUUUGAAUGUCAGCCCUCUUGCCUCGGGAGCAUCGCACACUGAAGCUAAAUCAAAUAUACAGUGCCCACGUGCUGCUGCUCUUUCUCCUCUGCCAUCCGACCUAUACCUGCGUACGAUAUUCCUUCAUUCCCGAGGUGUGCGUGGUUGUCUGACCUGCGGUGCAUUGGUUUCCUGAAAAUCGGAUCAAUAAAGAACAACCCACCAGACAACCUAUCCACAGGGAAGCUGUAUCUAUACAUAUCUCAUAUGUCCAGACUGUCCGCACGGUGGACUGCGUCAGCUGAUCACACAGGUUCAGGAUGCGCUGAAUAAUAUGAUCUCCCGAUGUUGCUCAUUUUCCGAUUGAUCAUAAAAAUGCGUGAAUUGCUUCCGUAAAGCGCAUCAAAUGGAUGUGUUUAUUGUUUCUUUAUCAGUGUCAAGCAGAUGAGGAAGAAGAGCCAUGAGUCUCUGAGGUUGUCGUGAUUUGUAACCAUCACACUGUAUGUUAAACCUGUAGAGACUCAGGUUAGGGCCUAUACACUGUGGUAUGGGAUUGUAAUGAGACACAUCAUGAAGCCUGGUGUGUGGCCUCUUUUUUAAUGAACUCUUUUGAGAUCCGGCAGAAAAGCCUUCACAGGAGAGAAUGGAGCUGCCGUUUAAAACUCCACCUGUGACAACCGAGCUUCGUACGGCUCUUAUCUCGGGGAUGAAUCACGAGACAUCAUCACAUUUCUUGGUCGGUUAAAGCUCCUGUAUGACCCUCCUCCGUCUGCUCUGUAGGAUUUAUCUGUUUAAUCUAUCCACAAUAAACCAAGAAGAGUGUUUUCAUGUU